rnacentral:rRNA from 1 species
GAUGAACGCUGGCGGCGUGCCUAAUACAUGCAAGUCGAGCGAACGGACGAGAAGCUUGCGUCUCUGAUGUUAGCGGCGGACGGGCGAGUAACACGUGGAUAACCUACCUAUAAGACUGGGAUAAAUUCGGGAAACCGGAGAUAAUACCGGAUAAUAUUUUGAACCGCAUGGUUCAAAAGUGAAUGACGGUUUUGCUGUCACUUAUAGAUGGAUCCGCGCUGCAUUAGCUAGUUGGUAAGGUAACGGCUUACCAAGGCAACGAUGCAUAGCCGACCUGAGAGGGUGAUCGGCCACACUGGAACUGAGACACGGUCCAGACUCCUACGGGAGGCAGCAGUAGGGAAUCUUCCGCAAUGGGCGAAAGCCUGACGGAGCAACGCCGCGUGAGUGAUGAAGGUCUUCGGAUCGUAAAACUCUGUUAUUAGGGAAGAACAUAUGUGUAAGUAACUGUGCACAUCUUGACGGUACCUAAUCAGAAAGCCACGGCUAACUACGUG